UAUUUAUCCUAGUUAGAGGCAAAUGAGUUAUUUUAUGGUAAGUUCAGUACAUGAACUUUAGACCUUGUGGAGUAGAGUGUAAGCCCCUGCUUUGCAACAGAAUCUGUUACUUCAGUUAAGCACUUGCUCUCCCUGAAACCUAGUCUUUCACCUGUAAAAGGAGGACAACAUCUAUUCCAGAAUUUAGUUACUGUAAGAAUAUGUGGAAUGAAGAAUGUAAAUCAGCUGAUUCCAGGGGUGGCCAGACACUUUCUUUAGAUAAACAAACUCCCUGGGAACAGGGGAGAAGGCUGUACCAGGAACUCAGCUCAGACUGCAUUUGAUCUUACCUGCAAGGUGAUUGAAGUGCAGCACUUCGCACAGGAGGUUCAGCCUGUGAACCCCCAUGUAGUGCUUACCUGAUUAUAACUACUCGGCUACAGUGGGACCACUCAGGACAACUACUAAAAACAUAGGGCCUGAUUCAACACCUGCUGAACUCUGUGAAAUUCUUUCUGGUGACUUCAAGCAAUUGUAGAACAGCCUCCAGGUGUACCUGCACUCUGAUUCUGGAUGCCACUCCAUCAAAAGUGAGAUUUGGGCUAUGGAGUUUUGCCGAGUGGCAUGAACUCACUCCAGUGUGAGAUCACCACAGUGACAUACCACCUAACUGGGAGCAUCACUGCAGUGGGGACUGCUGAUGGGCUGAGUCUUGCCGCAUGCAAGGCAUCUGGAGAGGCAGAGCACAGAUUUUUACCACAUGCCUCAUCAGGAAGACUUCUCCUUCAAGAGAUGUGUCCAAUCACCACAGUACUUAGCAACUUUCCCUUGGUGACUGUUCUUGUUUUGCAAGCCUCUGUGGCUUCCAAGCUGUUCUGCCAGUGAUCAAGUAAGAUGGAAAAAGCAGGAAAGAAAAAUCCCACUCUUCAGGGUAAGUCUUCUUUGGCAAAGGCACCACAGGCUUUCUCAUACAAGCUUUGGCACUAAGGGGAAGAGGAGCACAGAGCCAUUUUUUCCACAGCUAAAUAAGGUUCCCAGGGGAUCGAGCUAUGCUGACAGAGAACAAACUGUGCUGACUCAUCUUCAAGACUUCAUGCAUUUUCUGAAGAAGCCAUAAAAGAAAUACCUGACUCAGAGAAAUGUGUAUAUGUCUGAAAGUUCCUCACCUUUUGUAGCCCAUGCUUCUUUGGGGCUUUAGACAAUCAGAGCUAAAUGGCUUUGUCUUUCAGGCACUUGCUCCCCAGGUUUGCAGGGUUUCACCUACAUGAGCACAAUGAACAAGACUUUUCUUUAAUAUCUUUCUUGCUCCCUAAAGCCCUCUGUGCUGGUCUGAAGUUAAGAAAUAUAGAAUAUGACCCAAGUAAUCUAAAUGCUGCAUCCAUCAGCAUUUACUUUGAUUUUCUGUUCAUAAGAAAAUACAAAUCAGAUAACACACCAGGAAUGAAAUAAUAUCUCAGUAUUUUAAAAUACUUUUCACAUCUUCUAAGCACAAAUACAAAUAUUAAUAGCAAUUUUUGGCAAAUAAUUACCUAAGCUAAUAAUAACUUUGUCCAGCUGCUCUACUAAAAAGUCAUGUGUUGUCCUCUAUCACUGUACGAUGUACAUGAAAACUUAAAACUGCAUCAAAUAAAAAGCUCUAUGAAAAGUAAAAUAAUGAAAGAUCUUUUGAAAUGUGCUUGUGCAUGAUGGAUAAUCACUAAAAAUAUACUGAUAUGUAAAAACAUCUACCCAUAGAUUUGUAAUACAGAUGGCACCUUAAAUUAGCUAGUCCAUAUUUUAAAGACAUUCUAUGUAGAAUAAGAAAUGCAGAUCACAACAUUUGAUUAUAUUUAUAUUCUGCAAGUACUUGAGGAACACACAGAAGAAAAAUCUAUCCCCAAGAGUGUUUUAAUAAAGCUGAUUAUUUAUACAGCUGUUUGAAAAGAUGUGUCAUGCUGCUCAUCUGAAAUGUCACACAUUCUCACUAAUAUCAAAACACCCCUAACAAGGCUUUUUCAAGUAUGAAUUUGAAUGACAACAGUGACAUCGAGUGGUCACUGUUGUUACUAGCUGCUGUGUAUUGCCUUGAAAGCCCUGCUAUAAUGGCGAUGUCAAUGCCUUGACUUCAAAGAGCAUACAGUGCUAAAUCAACUAGCACUACUUGUACAACAACUACAAAGGUGAAUUCAUUACAAAUUGUCAGUGUGUAGUUUAAAUUCACAGUCAAGCAUUUUAAACAUAAUCGUGUGUACAAUGUAGUAGAGCCCAUAGCAUACUGACAAAAGCACAAGCAGAAUAUAAAGGCAGAACAUUUGCCACGGGACGGGCUGCACUCUUAAAAUGUUGGCAUCAAAAGCCUAGAGAACAUGGCCUGAACCAUACAAGCAUUCACGCGCGUGUGUAACAUCAGGUGUGUGACCACCACCAAAUUCUGUGGUUAAUUUCUGUCUCCAGAAAUGCUUUCCCAGCACUUGGUCCCGGUGCCUGCCCUGGCCUCACUCAGCCUCUGCACUGAAGGAGACCCACUCAUGCAAACACGCCCUUGUUCCUUGAAUAUUUUAUACCUGUGCAAAAUAAUUUGUGUGUGCAGGCUGGAUGGGUGCCAGAGCACACCCUGCAAACAGUCCCCUUACUUGGGUAAUCAGAGAAACAGCACACCAGCGAGUGCUCACAUGCCUCAGAAGCCAACCUUGGUGCAGCAGAUUAAGUCACCGAUACUAGCUGCGUAAUUAAAGUUAACCAUGCACAUAAGUGCUCAGCUGGCUGGAGCCAUAUGCUUGGCUUUUUGCAUGGCUGAGAGGGCUUCACUGGGCAGCAGGAGGGCAAAGAUCACUCAGUAGUCAGGGAUAAAAUGAAUGCUCGUGUGGUUAUUUUCGGUGCUUAUUGAAUCCACGUUAUGUUCUUGAUCUGUUGUUUCUUUCUUCACCCCCUUCCCAAUGCCCGUCGACACUGUGACAGAACUUCUAUUAAAAUUCCCCAUCUUUUUCAGUUCUCUAUUACUUUUUUUUAAUAGUUGGUUUCAUUUCUACAUUUAAAAGCACUGUUUCCUCUUUACUUCCUUUGUUGCUCACAUGUUAAGACUGUAGCCUUAGCUGUGAGGGCAGACACCUUCUGGCAGUGACAACCUGUCAGAAAUCACUAAAGCUUUUCACAGGUUUGGGUGCACAUGUGUAGCUCUUAUCCAGAGCACGUCUCAGAUAACGAGACACUCUCUGCUCAGACAUACUUCCAUAUUGUGCCCUGCAUCUGCAGGCCAUGCCUUUUAACAGAAGGCUCUCCUCAGUAUCUAGAGGUACCUUGACGGAACAUGCUAAGAGUCCAAUGUAAAGACUUUGGUUUUCAGAUUUAAAAGGAGGGAGUGGUAUUUUGUCUGUAUUAUGCGCAACAGCUUCUGCACAUAGCAUGAGACAUUAGAGGAAUUUGAAGAACAACACAGAAAAGGAAUUCUUUUUAUAUAGUCAUGAGUCAUGGUUUUAGUGGAGAUAGAGUUAAUUUUCUUCACUGCAGCUGGCAUAGUGCUGUGCUUUGGACUUAGUAUGAAAACAAUGUUGAGAUAACACACAGGUAUUUUCAGUGUUGCUGAGUAGUGCUUGUACUAGUCAACGACAUUUCUAGCUUCCCAUGCUCUGCCAGGUGCACAAGAAGCCGGGAGGGGAGGGGGCACAGCUAAAAGGGUGGAUUCAAACUGGCCAAAGGGAUAUUCCAUAUCAUGUAAUGUCA